UACGAGGGGGGCAAGCGUUGUUCGGAAUUAUUGGGCGUAAAGGGUGCGUAGGCGGUUUGGUAAGUCUGAUGUGAAAUCUAUGGGCUCAACUCAUAGACUGCAUCGGAAACUGCCGGGCUUGAGUGUGGGAGAGGUGAGUGGAAUUCCUGGUGUAGCGGUGAAAUGCGUAGAUAUCAGGAGGAACACCUGUGGCGAAAGCGGCUCACUGGACCAUAACUGACGCUGAUGCACGAAAGCUAGGGGAGCAAACAGG
rnacentral:rRNA from 1 species